rnacentral:rRNA from 1 species
CACGUAGGGCGCAAGCGUUGUCCGGAAUUAUUGGGCGUAAAGAGCUCGUAGGUGGUUUGUUACGUCUGCUGUGAAAUCCUAGGGCUUAACCCUGGGCUUGCGGUGGAUACGGGCAGACUAGAGGUAGGUAGGGGAGAAUGGAAUUCCUGGUGUAGCGGUGAAAUGCGCAGAUAUCGGGAAGAACACCCGUGGCGAAGGCGGCUCUCUGGGACGGUACUGACGCUGAGACGCGAAAGCGUGGGGAGCAAACAGG